rnacentral:rRNA from 1 species
CACGUAGGGCGCAAGCGUUGUCCGGAAUUAUUGGGCGUAAAGAGCUCGUAGGCGGUCUGUUGCGUCCGCUGUGAAAACUCGGGGCUUAACCCCGAGCCUGCAGUGGAUACGGGCAGACUAGAGGUAGGUAGGGGAGAAUGGAAUUCCCGGUGUAGCGGUGAAAUGCGCAGAUAUCGGGAGGAACACCGGUGGCGAAGGCGGGUCUCUGGGCCGAUACUGACGCUGAGGUGCGAAAGCGUGGGGAGCAAACAGG